rnacentral:rRNA from 1 species
UACGUAGGGUGCGAGCGUUGUCCGGAAUCAUUGGGCGUAAAGCGCGUGUAGGCGGUUCGGUAAGUCUGCUGUGAAAGUCCAGGGCUCAACCCUGGGAUGCCGGUGGAUACUGUCGGACUAGAGUACGGAAGAGGCGAGUGGAAUUCCCGGUGUAGCGGUGAAAUGCGCAGAUAUCGGGAGGAACACCUGUGGCGAAAGCGGCGCACUGGACCACAACUGACGCUGAGGCGCGAAAGCUAGGGGAGCAAACAGG